rnacentral:rRNA from 1 species
UGGUGGAGUGAUUUGUCUGGUUAAUUCCGUUAACGAACGAGACCUUAGCCUACUAACUAGUCGAACCAAUCUCCGAUUGGCUGCGACUUCUUAGAGGGACUUUGUGUUUUAAGCACAAGGAAGUUUGAGGCAAUAACA